rnacentral:lncRNA from 1 species
GACGAGGUCCAAGAGAACCCUGCCCGUGACGUUGCUCGUGAGGCUUUGUGCAGCAACCGGCGACAGUGACACGGCUGGCGGGGGAAGGGAGGACUGAGGUCACCCCAGGUGCCCAGGCGACGUCGCGAGGAACCCGGGUGGAAUCGAAGCUCCGGCGCGAGCCGAGGCGAAAGGGUCGAACCCAGCGCGGAGCAGAGCGGGGGCUACAGAAGCGGAAGCGCGACCCGAGUCUCAAAGGGGGGAGAGAAACUCCGGCUCAGGAAGCGCCAGGGCUUCGGAACCCAGCGGCGAGGAGUCCUAGUGCCGCAGCGCCUGCGUACUGGUCGGUCCGGGUUUAUUCGAGGAGAGACCGUUGGCAGCAACUGGGGGAGGUGUUCUGGAGUGGGCGGGGUCGGGGGAGGGGCGCCGGGACCAGCGCGCAGGCGCACUGCUGGACUCUUGCGCGCGCGGCCCUCGGGGCACCUGCGCACCGACGAGGCCGUGGGAGGCGGGGCUUCUGCGACCUCCCGCUCUCGGGGCAUUGUGGGAUAGUGGCGGAGCGAGCCGGGCUUCGGAGGCCCUGACGCGGACUGCGGGGCCGGAGACCCGGGUACUUCGGGGAAGGCGGCGGCUGUGGAAGCGGGCGUUGGCCUUGGUCGGUCGCCGCCCAACUCUGCGUCCCGGGCGGGCUGAGGAGGCGGGCGUUUUCCCGGCCCGCGGACGCCGGCUCGUCUGGGGAACCCCAGGCGACUUCCCCGUCCCUGCUCUCGGAGGCGCCUGCGCAGCCUCGAGGUCGCCUCACCCCGCCGCGCGGGCGCGCCCUCCCGCCGCCGACCCGAGCGUGGUCUCCGCCCGGCCCGGGCCUGCGCCGCCCCGCCGCCCCCGCCCCACUCUCCCGGCCCGCGAAGGGGCCGAGCCGUCGGCGGCGGGGCGGGCGGGGGCGCCCCGAUGAGCCCCGAGUGCGAGGAACCGCCGCCCCCCUGCGCAGGUGAGCCGCGCACCCGCCGCCUGGGUCCCCUCCCCGUCCCCUCGUCUGUCCUCGGUUCCCCCAGGUCCCAUCAGGUGAAGUGAGGUCUGAGCUGAGUCUCAAGAGAGGUCCCUUGGCAGCAGGGGCUGGCACAGAGGUGAGGGAGCCUUCCGUGUGGUGUGGUGCUGUCUGGCCUGGCUUCAGGUGAGGCAGGGAUGGGAG